UCAAUUUCAGUACUUAAGGGUGCACCACCGGAGAUUAGUAGGCGAAGACGGCCACCGAGCCUUGCCUUGACCUAGAGCAAGGAAAUGCAACAAAAAGAAGUAAGAUACAGACACUGCCUUUUAUGAAGGAUCCAGCUAAACUAUGACCCGUGUAACCUUUGAAGAUUGAUGCUAGAAACGCUUGUUGACACAGUGGAUGCGAGAUAAAAUCCGGGACGGCUGUCCAACCACAACCUAAUCCCUCUUCCACGCGCAUCGGUUUGCGGACGAGCCAGAGGUACUGAGAUCAUGGUGUAUGUCAGAAACUGCCAAGAGUCACGCGGAAGGGUAGCACAAACAAUUUAGCACUGAUCUUCUGAACACCAGAGGACGGAGACGCAGCGACCCACGCACUCAUCACGGCCCAUCAACUUCACUUGGCCCUUUUAGUUGGAAGGACCCCGUUCGAGUAAAGUCUGAACCUACCAAGCUCUACCGAUUGAAUGAGCCAAUCGUACAACGAACAGAUAAAAAAAUCAGCUCAGCUCCCGGUAGAAGAACCUUGCUGUCAGCUCACUAGCUUUGCCAGUGACCUGACCUUGCUGCAGCUGGCGAAGUUCGCAUUGGAUGGAUGUCCCCAGCCGGGCAGCAGGUACCCCCAUUGAUCACACUUACCUACCACUCCAAUUCAUUUGCUAGCAUUGGUACCGUUACUAUUAUGAAAUGGUACGUAUUGUUUAUGGUCUGACAAGUAAGACUGAAUCUUACUGUAAAAUGAUUAAGCUAUUUUUUCGCCAAAAAAUGAUUAAGCUUGUUAACUCGGCUGUAGUUACUGUAAAAUGAUUGUACAGUUUGUCAAACAAAAAAGAAUGACCUGGACCUCCAGAAAAAAAGCACGCUCUUGGCCUCUAGUGUUUGAGGCAGGAAGGGUGGUUGACCGAUGACAGAGGCCGUGUCACCUCAUCCUGAUUCCGUCAACCGACUUGACCUGGACCUUUGACAUCCUCUUUAUUAGGCGGCUGGGUCUCUUAAACUCUGACUUGACUGCAAUCAACAAGUUGACGUUCGUGGCUAGUAGAUCUUUUUAUUCAUAAUUAUCGAUAUGCAACUUGUUCUUCUGCGAGGAAUGCAGGGGAAUCUUUCAAACUUGCAUCCGAAAUGUGAAAUGUUCAUACGGCCGGAAGGAAAAGGAGAGAUCAAGAAUAUGCAGCAGGGUUGGUUUAUCUUAGUUGGCUAGUCCUGAAACUUGCAUGGAUACAUUCUCUGAACUUGGCAACGCUUGCUCCAGACACAUGGUAACAACCAACUAACAAUAGUGCAACUGGUGGCCAGUGUGAGCUUGCAGCUUGGGACGCCAUUGAUGGCGGCGGCAUGGGUUACCUAAGGGUUCUCGCAUGUCCUGAUUCAUAGGCCGUGGCCGUGGCCUGGCUAGCAAGGAGCAUGUGUGGUCAUUUAUUUGGUCCGCGUAGGACAUAGGAGUAUACGAUAUGGAUUCAUAUGAAUUUAUUGGAGGUAUUUAAGGAUCAACACAUGGAGAUGUCUGUGCAACUCUGGGGCUCGGAUCCACAGAUCAUGCUUCCUUAUACCGAUCGGCUGUAACAUUGCACGUAGGACUCGACAAUUGCACAAAGUACUGUAGUAAUGAAAGAAGUCUCACUGCCCAUACCUCUUUGCAGGCUGUUCUGUCUUCGAUCGGCAUUGACAUUUGCCAUCCUGUCAACUUGAUAGUUAAUUAUUCCUCUACCAAACGCACAAAGUGCCUUUUUCCAAGCUCCGAUUGUGUUUCUCUUUUUUGUCCAGGGCUCAUCCGAUGUCAUUUCGUGAUGAAAUUCUGCGCCCUCCUAAAAAACAUCGAUUUUUAUUUAUUUUUCCGACAAGUAUUUUUGGACGGGAGGGAGUAUAUAUUAUUAGUAAGUGUUUUCUAGCCAUGCAUACCUCUGUGGUCUACUCAAAACCUUGCAUGUUUACCACAUCUACACGUACAUAUCAACAUAAGUAUGUGCUAGCUGACAAGUACGAGCAGCUGAUCUGAUUGCUGCGCAGCCGGCUGCUAUCCUGACCGAGUCCACGUGACUACGAGUCCACUGCAGUCGAUAUCAGCUCUGGUGCUCCUUGUCUUUUACCGCCUGCUCAUGCUGUUCUCUGCAGUACAUGGUACUCCUACCUACUGAAGAAAAUAAACAGAAGGUGCCCAUCCACCCGCAAGGGCAGGCCACAGAGGAGACGAGGGGAAUUCAAUGGAGCAGGCAAAGUGGAGAGGGAGGAAAUGCCAUUGCCACCCGCACUGUAGUUCCACUUGUGCCACCAGUGUAGGUGGUGCAGCUGGAGUUAAUUCUCCAUCAACCCAACUAGGGCGAGCAAGGGAAAGCAAGCAUGCGGCCAGCCUUGUUUCUCACCGGUGCAUUGCAUUGCAUGUCCUUCUCUCCUCAUCAUGGUUUCUUCCAUUCUCAUCCUGAGCAUGAAAAGUAGGAGAGUGAUGGCCUCGCUCGUCAUGCUCGUCACGUGGACCAUUUGAAGCGAAAGAAAUGCACGCUUGCUCUGUCAUAAGAGUGCGCUGCCGGCGGUCCUCCUCGCCAAUAUCAAGGAGGCCAAGCUAUGGGUAACUGCGGGUGCUAGAAAAUCGGGUCAUUUGAUGCCACGAGAGUAGUGAGUCACUGUUAUUCGGGGCGUUGCGGCACUGUCCGUGUUGUAACACAAAAUAAACUAUAUUCUUCUUCUUAAUUAAUGAAUGAGGCAAAUCUUUUGUACCUUGUUUCAA